GACGAACCGUGCGAACGUUAUUCGGAAUUACUGGGCUUAAAGCGCGUGUAGGCGGGACGGCACGUCCGUCGUUGAAAGCCCCCGGCUCAACCGGGGAAUCGGCGCGGAUACGACCGUCCUUGAGGGGCGUAGGGGGACAGGGAACUUCCGGUGGAGCGGUGAAAUGCGUUGAGAUCGGAAGGAACACCCGUGGCGAAAGCGCUGUCCUGGACGCCUGACUGACGCUGAGACGCGAAAGCUAGGGAGGCAA
rnacentral:rRNA from 1 species